UGGCGGACGGGUGAGUAACGCGUGGGUAACCUGCCUUACACACGGGGGAUAACACCUGGAAACAGGUGCUAAUACCGCAUAAGCGCACAGGGCCGCAUGGCCCGGUGUGAAAAACUCCGGUGGUGUAAGAUGGACCCGCGUCUGAUUAGCUUGUUGGCGGGGUAGGGGCCCACCAAGGCGACGAUCAGUAGCCGGCCUGAGAGGGUGGACGGCCCACAUUGGGACUGAGACACGGCCCAAACUCCUACGGGAGGCAGCAG
rnacentral:rRNA from 1 species